rnacentral:lncRNA from 1 species
GCAUAUCUUGCUACAUCUCGAAUUUUGGAUGCGUUUGAUUCGCGCUAUCUUUUUAAGAUUUCUAGUAAUUCAGUAGAAAUAAAAAAAUAUGACGGUGUUUGGCUAAACGCAUUAAGUAAUCUAGUUGGUAAUACUUGAUUUACUUGGGAAUAAGAUGUAUUCCAAAGUACUAAUCUCAUUCCUUUAAGGGAGGGUGGGUAUCCUUGUAUUAAUAGAUUGAAGUAAUUAUAAUAUAUUUAAUCUCUUUUUUUCUUCCCACCUGCUGGCUAGUUAGUAUUAUUUUUCUUUACACUCUAACCUCAUAUCUCUUUCUAAACUUAUCUUUUUCUUUCUAAACUUCAACUCUUUUUCUCUCUCUAAAUUAAACUAUUUCUCCCCCUCUUUUUCUAAAAUCUCAACCCUCUCAUUCUCUCUAACCUCGACCCUAUUUCUCUUCCUAUUUCUUUAAUUAUGCUCUCUCAUUCUAACCUACACCCUCUCUCUCUCUUUUCUAAAAAGAUGUUAAAAUUUUUUAUAGUAUUAUUUAAAAUUAAAUAAAUAAAUUAAUUAAUUAAUUGUAUAUUUUUCGUAAUCUUAAAUAACAUGACUAAAUAAUAUGACCGUACGUACGAACCAAACACCGAAAUAUUACAUUCUUAGUAAUAAGAUGAAUAGGAAUAAGAUUCUUGGAUAUCUUUUUACUCCUAGUAAUCUUUCAUAGUGCGAACCAAACGCGCCCUUCAGGUUAUGAAAACAAUUAGACACAACAGGUAUGAAAAUAUACCACGAUAGUAUCAAUAUUCAUCAUUCAUAUCACCUUUUCUUUUCCUUUC